rnacentral:tRNA from 1 species
AUUUAUGUAGUUUAUUAAAACAUUACAUUUUCACUGUAAAGAUAAAUUCAAUUUCAUAAAUA